rnacentral:tRNA from 1 species
GCGGGUGUAGCUCAGUGGUAGAGCACAAGCUUCCCAAGCUUGGUGUCGAGGGUUCGAUUCCCUCUACCCGCUCCA